rnacentral:misc_RNA from 1 species
CUGAAAGGAAACGUGGGAAAACUGAGAAGUCGAUUAGUCUAGAGGUUCUUCAACAAUAUUUUGCUGGGAGUCUUAAAGAUGCUGCAAAGAGCCUUGGUGUUUGUCCUACUACAAUGAAGCGCAUCUGCAGGCAGCAUGGGAUCUCACGUUGGCCAUCUCGCAAAAUCAGCAAGGUUAACCGAUCCCUCUCUAAGUUAAAGCGGGUGAUUGAAUCUGUCCAAGGUGCUGAAGGAACAUUCAAUUUAACUCACCUCACUACAAGUUCACUUCCUGUUGCUGUUGGUUCAAUUUCUUGGCCAUCCAAUCUGAAUGGAUGCAAUCAACAAAGCUCACUGAACUCUAAAUCCCCUGAACCUAAUGAUGAAAAGAAAGGAUCGCCAAUCUGCAAAGCAGCAGGAAGUGAUGGACAGGGUGGAGGUGAAAAUCA